rnacentral:rRNA from 1 species
GAUGAACGCUGGCGGCGUGCCUAAUACAUGCAAGUCGAACGCAUAGCGAAAGGUGCUUGCACCUUUCAAGUGAGUGGCGAACGGGUGAGUAACACGUGGACAACCUGCCUCAAGGCUGGGGAUAACAUUUGGAAACAGAUGCUAAUACCGAAUAAAACUUAGUGUCGCAUGACACAAAGUUAAAAGGCGCUUCGGCGUCACCUAGAGAUGGAUCCGCGGUGCAUUAGUUAGUUGGUGGGGUAAGGGCCUACCAAGACAAUGAUGCAUAGCCGAGUUGAGAGACUGAUCGGCCACAUUGGGACUGAGACACGGCCCAAACUCCUACGGGAGGCUGCAGUAGGGAAUCUUCCACAAUGGGCGAAAGCCUGAUGGAGCAACGCCGCGUGUGUGAUGAAGGCUUUCGGGUCGUAAAGCACUGUUGUAUGGGAAGAACAGCUAGAAUAGGAAAUGAUUUUAGUUUGACGGUACCAUACCAGAAAGGGACGGCUAAAUACGUG